rnacentral:rRNA from 1 species
AGCGAACGCUGGCGGCAGGCCUAACACAUGCCAGUCGAACGCCCCUUCGGGGGAGUGGCGGACGGGUGAGUAACGCGUGGGAAUGUGCCCUUUGGUACGGAACAACUGAGGGAAACUUCAGCUAAUACCGUAUGUGCCCUACGGGGGAAAGAUUUAUCGCCAUUGGAGCAGCCCGCGUUGGAUUAGGUAGUUGGUGGGGUAAUGGCCCACCAAGCCGACGAUCCAUAGCUGGUCUGAGAGGAUGAUCAGCCACACUGGGACUGAGACACGGCCCAGACUCCUACGGGAGGCAGCAGUGGGGAAUCUUGCGCAAUGGGCGAAAGCCUGACGCAGCCAUGCCGCGUGAAUGAUGAAGGUCUUAGGAUUGUAAAAUUCUUUCACCGGGGAAGAUAAUGACGGUACCCGGAGAAGAAGCCCCGGCUAACUUCGUG